rnacentral:lncRNA from 1 species
UCUGAAAAGAGAGUCAGCAAAGGGAGAUAGGGGUACAGCAGUUUUAUAGGAUUUGGGUAGGUAGUGGAAAAUUACAGUUAAAGGUGGUUAUCUCUUGUGGGCAGGGAUGGGGAUCACAAGGUGCAGGGUGGGGAGAUCAUGAGACUCAUUGUCUAGGGGAGGAAUGUCACAAGGUUGAUGGAUUAGUUGGGGUGGGGCAGGAGCAAAUCACAAUGAUGGAAUGUCAUCUUUUGUGGUUCUUCAGUUGCUCCAGGCCCUCUAGAUGUAUACGUGCAGGUCACAGGGGUUAUGAUGGCUUAGCUUGGGCUCAGAGGCCUGACACCAGAGAGUUGGCCAACACCCCGGUACAGUUGGCCAGCUGCACUAGAGCUGCUUUGUUCUCCUGAUUUGAAUUUCAGUGGUUUCUUACAGUUUUUGCUGCUGCUGUAGAGCAUUUAAGCAGGAAGGGAUCCAGUUCAGCCAUCCAGGGACUGGCACCCAAGUUCUUGUUGCAGGUAGCAGGGACCAGCUUGCAAGCUUGAAGUGUGCAGAUGGAACACAGAGCACUCCAGCCACCCAGGCAGAUAUCAGAGGAUGGGCCCUCAGGCACUGAUUCCUGUCUGUCACCUGGGAGAGGCUCCCUGAGGCCAGGUGGAAAUCAUACCCGGAUGCCACCAGAAUGAUGAUUCAGCCCUUUCCGUGCUUGUUCCAGAGGGGAAGCCCAUGAAAGGAGGACAGCCAGUGCUCUCCUGUGUGCCACGUUCCAGAAGCUCAGUCUCACUCUGUCGCGCAGGCUGGAGUGCAGUGGCACGAUC